AUAUCAAUAAGCGGAGGAAAAGAAACCAACCGGGAUUGCCUCAGUAACGGCGAGUGAAGCGGCAAGAGCUCAAAUUUGAAAUCUGGCCCCUCUGGGGUCCGAGUUGUAAUUUGCAGAGGAUGCUUCGGGUGCGGUCCCCGUCUAAGUGCCCUGGAACGGGCCGUCAUAGAGGGUGAGAAUCCCGUCUGGGAUGGGCGGCCGCGCCCGUGUGAAGCUCCUUCGACGAGUCGAGUUGUUUGGGAAUGCAGCUCUAAGCGGGUGGUAAAUUUCAUCUAAAGCUAAAUACUGGCCGGAGACCGAUAGCGCACAAGUA
rnacentral:rRNA from 1 species